rnacentral:rRNA from 1 species
CGAUGAUCUCCAGCUUGCUGGGGGGAUUAGUGGCGAACGGGUGAGUAACACGUGAGUAACCUGCCCUUGACUCUGGGAUAAGCCUGGGAAACUGGGUCUAAUACCGGAUAUGACCAUCUGGCGCAUGUCAUGGUGGUGGAAAGCUUUUGUGGUUUUGGAUGGACUCGCGGCCUAUCAGCUUGUUGGUGGGGUAAUGGCCUACCAAGGCGACGACGGGUAGCCGGCCUGAGAGGGUGACCGGCCACACUGGGACUGAGACACGGCCCAGACUCCUACGGGAGGCAGCAGUGGGGAAUAUUGCACAAUGGGCGCAAGCCUGAUGCAGCGACGCCGCGUGAGGGAUGACGGCCUUCGGGUUGUAAACCUCUUUCAGUAGGGAAGAAGCCUUUCGGGGUGACGGUACUUGCAGAAGAAGCGCCGGCUAACUACGUGCCAGCAGCCGCGGUAAUACGUAGGGCGCAAGCGUUAUCCGGAAUUAUUGGGCGUAAAGAGCUCGUAGGCGGUUUGUCGCGUCUGCUGUGAAAGACCGGGGCUCAACUCCGGUUCUGCAGUGGGUACGGGCAGACUAGAGUGCAGUAGGGGAGACUGGAAUUCCUGGUGUAGCGGUGAAAUGCGCAGAUAUCAGGAGGAACACCGAUGGCGAAGGCAGGUCUCUGGGCUGUAACUGACGCUGAGGAGCGAAAGCAUGGGGAGCGAACAGGAUUAGAUACCCUGGUAGUCCAUGCCGUAAACGUUGGGCACUAGGUGUGGGGGACAUUCCACGUUUUCCGCG